AGGAUGCUGGAAUGCACUUAGACUAAAAACUUCGGUGCCUUAGGAUGAGUCUGCGGACUAUCAGGUUGUAGUCAGGGUAAAGACCUGACUAGCCUACGACGGAUACGGGUUGUGAGAGCAAUAACCCGGAGAUGAUAUCUGAGACACGAUAUCAGGCCCUACGGGGCGCAGCAGGCGCGAAAACUUCGCACUGUGCGAAAGCACGACGAGGGAAUCCCAAGUGCUGGCUCGUAAGAGUCAGCUGUUUCUUUGUCUAAAAAACAGAGAGAGUAAGAGCUGGGUAAGACGGGUGCCAGCCGCCGCGGUAAUACCUGCAGCUCAAGUGGUGGCCGCUAUUAUUGGGCCUAAAACGUCCGUAGCCGGUUCUAUAAAUGCCUGGGUAAAUCGUACGGCUUAACCGUACGAAUUCCGGGUAGACUGUUCAACUUGGGACCGGGAGAGGCUAGAGGUACUCCUGGGGUAGAGGUGAAAUUCUGUAAUCCUAGGGGGACCACCAGUGGCGAAGGCGUCUAGCUAGAACGGGUCUGACGGUGAGGGACGAAGCCCUGGGGAGCAACGGGAUAGAUACCCCGGUAGUCAGGGUGUAACGCUGCUCCCUUGAUGUUAGACGGCUCGAGCCAACUAGUGU
rnacentral:rRNA from 1 species